rnacentral:snoRNA from 1 species
AUGCUAUGAUGUCAAUCUUAGGACACCUUUGGAUUAACAAUGAAAGGAAAACUUUCACUGAGCAUU